GAUGAACGCUAGCGGCAGGCUUAACACAUGCAAGUCGAGGGGUAGAGGUUGCUUGCAACCUUGAGACCGGCGCACGGGUGCGUAACGCGUAUGCAACCUACCUUUUACAGAGGGAUAGCCCAGAGAAAUUUGGAUUAAUACCUUAUAGUAUAUCGUCUUCGCAUGUUGACUAUAUUAAAGUUCCAACGGUUAAAGAUGGGCAUGCGUCCUAUUAGCUAGAUGGUAAGGUAACGGCUUACCAUGGCAACGAUAGGUAGGGGUACUGAGAGGGAGAUCCCCCACACUGGUACUGAGACACGGACCAGACUCCUACGGGAGGCAGCAGUGAGGAAUAUUGGACAAUGGGCGCAAGCCUGAUCCAGCCAUGCCGCGUGCAGGAAGAAGCAUCUAUGGUGUGUAAACUGCUUUUGUACGGGAAGAAACACUCCGACGUGUCGGAGCUUGACGGUACCGUAAGAAUAAGGAUCGGCUAACUCCGUGCCAGCCGCCGCCGUAAGAC
rnacentral:rRNA from 1 species